UACGUAGGGUGCGAGCGUUGUCCGGAAUUACUGGGCGUAAAGGGCUUGUAGGUGGUUUGUCGCGUUGUUCGUGAAAUGUCACAACUCAAUUGUGGGCGUGCGGGCGAUACGGGCAGACUGGAGUACUGCAGGGGAGACUGGAAUUCCUGGUGUAGCGGUGGAAUGCGCAGAUAUCAGGAGGAACACCGGUGGCGAAGGCGGGUCUCUGGGCAGUAACUGACGCUGAGGAGCGAAAGCGUGGGGAGCGAACAGG
rnacentral:rRNA from 1 species